AAGAGGAAUUGACUGGUGGAGCAAGCUCUUGGUGGAGUCCAAAGAGGAUGCGUUCUAGUUCAAGACAGCCAGCACAGGACGUGGAUCUCGGGGACGAGAACGGAUUAUUCAAAGACAGCGAGGCAUGACCACGUGUGGUGUUUGGAAGGCUUCAAGAAGGUAGACGCGGCUGAAGUACAGUGAGGAGAGAGAGAGACUUAACCGGGGAGCAGAUUAGGAAGGCCCCGGCCAGCUGCGGGAUUGGAGGAACGAGGCAGUUGAGAGGAAGCUGGAUUUCGGAAGAAGAGUCGGCAAAUAGACUUAAUGAACACUCUAAAAUACAUUAUUGAUUACCUGGCCUGGACAGAUCCUGACUCCUGUUGCCAUCAGGAAUCUGGUGAUCCCGGUGAGUAAAAUAAAGUAAGCAACUCCCUUUCCAGAAGGCACUUUCACGAGGCCAUGCUCUGCCUGAGUGGGUUCCAUGUUGUCAAUAUAGACCUCACGAGAGCUAGAUAAUUCUGUGUGUUGUGACCCAAAUCAUAACUGACCGUGUUAAAAGGCAAAUGUGCAAAUAAUGAAAAAAAUUCUGAACAUAAUACAAUUGCUCAGACGAACUGAGAAAAUCUGGCAUUACAAAAAUUAAAGGAAAGGGGGUGCCUGGGUGGCUCGGUUGGUUAAGCGUCCAUCCGACUCUUGGUUUCGGCUCAGGAUAUGAUCUCGUGGUUUCGGGAGUUCGAGCCCCACAUCAGGCUCCGUGCUGACAGUGCGGAGCCUGCUUGGGAUUCUGUGUCUCCCUCUCUCUCUCUGUCUCUCCCCCACUCGCACUGUCUCUGUCUCUCUCAAAAUAAACAAAUAAAAAACGAAAACAAGAACAAAAGUUAAAGGAAAGGACAAUACUAAUAAAGUUCAGCUCUGAUCACCAUGCCACAGCGUGUCAAUCAGGACUCGGUGUUGACACUUCUUCUUCCCCCGGGGGCCGCCUUCUCACGUGACACAGCCUCUUGCCACCCACCACUUCUCUGGUGGAAACCAAAUCCAAGUUCACCCUCUCUAAGAAGCGUACUGCCCUUCAGUG